rnacentral:rRNA from 1 species
UGAGACUUUAAGUCUCCUGAAGGAACGUUGAAGACGACGACGUUGAUAGGUCGGGUGUGUAAGCGCAGCGAUGCGUUGAGCUAACCGAUACUAAUGAACCGUGAGGCUUAACCUUACAACGCCGAAGGUGUUU